ACACACACACACACACACACACACACACACACACACACACACACACACACACACAGGCUCACAGAUAACAGGACAACUGCCAAGUUUUUGCUGAGUAUUUCCUUUAAUUCUUUUUGUUGGGUCCUGUUCAAAAUGUUAGGGCUUCUUAAAAAGAACUACUAUCAACUAAAUGCUCUUGGGUACUCUCAGAGAACUGACUGAGAUGGCAUGUAUCCAAAAAA